UUCACAGAUUGGGACAAUUAUUAUCUUCAUUUAGUCACUGAACAGAUACAGUACUUACAGCAGCAGUGCAAGCUUCCUACACACUACCUCUGCUUUGACUCAAUCUCCAGCCACAUUCAUUUCUUGCCAUCUGGGCUGAGAUGACCAACAGCUUUCUUUUUAAAUGGACACCCAUCUACU
rnacentral:sRNA from 1 species